CCUACGGGAGGCAGCAGUGGGGGAUAUUGGGCAAUGGAGGAAACUCUGACCCAGCAACGCCGCGUGAGUGAUGAAGGUUUUCGGAUUGUAAAGCUCUUUCCUAAGGGAAGAAGAAAGUGACGGUACCUUAGGAAUAAGCCUCGGCUAACUACGUGCCAGCAGCCGCGGUAAUACGUAGGGGGCAAGCGUUAUCCGGAAUUACUGGGCGUAAAGGGUGCGUAGGUGGUUUGGCAAGUUAGGAGCGAAAGGCCAGGGCUCAACCCUGGGACUGCUCCUGAAACUGUUGGACUUGAGUGCAGGAGAGGUAAGCGGAAUUCCUAGUGUAGCGGUGAAAUGCGUAGAUAUUAGGAGGAACACCAGUGGCGAAGGCGGGUUACUGGACUGUAACUGACGUUGAGGCUCGAAAGCGUGGGGAGCAAACAGGAUUAGAUACCCGAGUAGUC
rnacentral:rRNA from 1 species